AGCGUCGGGCCCAUACCCGGCCGCCGCCGGCAACAAGAGCCGCGAGGGCUAGGCCGCGGUGAGUAGGAGGGCCGCCGCGGUGAGCACGGAAGCCUGGGGCGCGAGCCCGGGUGGAGNCCGCCGCG
rnacentral:rRNA from 1 species